rnacentral:rRNA from 1 species
AGAGUUUGAUUAUGGCUCAGGAUGAACGCUAGCUACAGGCUUAACACAUGCAAGUCGAGGGGCAGCAUUGGAGUAGCAAUACUCAGAUGGCGACCGGCGCACGGGUGAGUAACACGUAUCCAACCUGCCGCUUACUCGGGGAUAGCCUUUCGAAAGAAAGAUUAAUACCCGAUGGUAUAAAGAGUUCGCAUGUUCUCUUUAUUAAAGAAUUUCGGUAAGCGAUGGGGAUGCGUUCCAUUAGAUAGUUGGCGGGGUAACGGCCCACCAAGUCUACGAUGGAUAGGGUUCUGAGAGGAAGGUCCCCCACAUUGGAACUGAGACACGGUCCAAACUCCUACGGGAGGCAGCAGUGAGGAAUAUUGGUCAAUGGACGAGAGUCUGAACCAGCCAAGUAGCGUGAAGGAUGACUGCCCUAUGGGUUGUAAACUUCUUUUAUAAGGGAAUAAAGUGAGGGACGUGUCCCUUUUUGUAUGUACCUUAUGAAUAAGGAUCGGCUAACUCCGUGCCAGCAGCAGC